CAGUCGCCACGGUAAUACAGAGGGUGCAAGCGUUAAUCGGAUUUACUGGGCGUAAAGGGCGCGUAGGUGGUUAUUUAAGUGAGAUGUGAAAUCCCCGGGCUUAACCUGGGAACUGCAUCUUAUACUGGGUAACUGGAGUGCAAUAGAGGGUAGUGGAAUUUCCGGUGUAGCGGUGUAAUGCGUAGAUAUCGGAAGGAACACCAGUGGCGAAGGCGGCUACCUGGAUUGACACUGACACUGAGGCGCGAGAGCGUGGGGAGCAAACAGGAUUAGAUACCCCUGUAGUCCCUGUCUCUUAUAC
rnacentral:rRNA from 1 species